rnacentral:rRNA from 1 species
GACGUAGGUGGCGAACGUUAUCCGGAAUUAUUGGGCGUAAAGGGUGCGUAGGCGGCAUGAUAAGUUAUUGGCGGCAAAUCGAGGCUCAACCUCGUGGAAACUGAUAAUACUGUCUUGCUUGAGUGCAGAAGAGGUUAACGGAACUCCAUGUGGAGCGGUAAAAAUGUGUAGAUAUAUGGAAGAACAUCAAUAACGGCGAAGGCAGUUAACUAUUCUGUUACUGACGUUGAGGCACGAAAGCGUGGGGAGCAAAAAAGG